rnacentral:rRNA from 1 species
UACGUAGGGGGCUAGCGUUGUCCGGAAUUAUUGGGCGUAAAGAGCGUGUAGGCGGCCAGAUAGGUCUGCUGUGAAAACUCGAGGCUCAACCUCGAGCUGUCGGCGGAAACCAUCCGGCUAGAGUCCGGAAGAGGAGAGUGGAAUUCCCGGUGUAGCGGUGAAAUGCGCAGAUAUCGGGAAGAACACCUGUGGCGAAGGCGGCUCUCUGGGACGGUACUGACGCUGAGACGCGAAAGCGUGGGGAGCAAACAGG